rnacentral:rRNA from 1 species
UACGUAGGCAGCGAGCGUUGUUCGGAAUUACUGGGCGUAAAGAGUGUGUAGGCGGCUUUGCAAGUCCGUUGUGAAAACUCGAGGCUCAACCUCGAGACGCCGGUGGAAACUGCAAAGCUAGAGUCCGGAAGAGGAGAGUGGAAUUCCUGGUGUAGCGGUGAAAUGCGCAGAUAUCAGGAAGAACACCCGUGGCGAAGGCGGCUCUCUGGGACGGUACUGACGCUGAGGCGCGAAAGCGUGGGGAGCGAACAGG